UCGCAGUGCGGGUAGGCUACCUACAUUAUGAGAUUAUUCUGGAUAAAAACGAGAUGAUUUGUCAGAAUAAGAACCUAUUUAUUGGAAAGGAGCAUCAAACUCACUCACCACCCUGUGAAGUUCAUCUGUAGCCUAAUAAUCUGCAUGCUUUCGCGAGUCGAUGUGCGAGGACCACACAACAUAUCAUCGCGUGACUCCAAAUUUACUUCGAUAUGAUAGUUAUUAUAUCAAUAUUUGCGCAUAAAAGCGUUCCCACUGCCAUUUCUCCAUAAUUUAAUUUUACCGACACAAAAAGAGCCCACCAUGUUGAAGAACAAAUUGAAUGUCGGCAUUUAUACAAUUUUACCGUCAUUUCAUGUUUCCAUAAACCGAGUCGUCACUUUUUGUUCAUGCGCCAUGUAAUUCAUCUUCCUGAAAUUGUCGGAUGGAAACGUGGUUAGUGACCUCCGAACAAACAAAUAUUUUCGUGGGCGAGAAAAACCUCUCGCUUCGCCUCUUUCGUCUCUGACUACACUCAGUAGAACGUUUGGUAGCGUUGUGACAGACGCGGUGUUCAGUCUAAAUACAUGCAAGUACUGACAAGGUUUCUUGCCAAUUUUACGUUUUAAAAUUAUGCCAACAGCAAUCGCAACCUCCAACAAGUCGUUUAAAUACUUUCCCAUAAGAACUUCCGAGUAAAGACGCAAUGGAAAGGUGGAAUAGUCAAAUGCGCGCUGGAUGGUUCCAGAGAGAUUGUACACAAAAUGACCCAUUCACUGGUGUCUUCAACACCUGUAAAUUGUCAGAAUUAUCUGUGGAUUUAUUACAUUUGAAUAAUGAGUUAUUUGUGAAUAUAUUUGCCAACAUGUUGUGAUUGUCUCUCUUCAGUGUCCAAAUUAGCAGAGUGGCUUGAUUUAAGGGAGACAUUUUGGGAUGAGUUACAGAGACCCAGUUCUGAAGGAUAUGGUGGAAUGACAGCUGACCACAGAGAAUUACACCUCAUCCUCAGAGAGUGAACAUAUAACAGAAAAGCUCUCUCGGACAGUUUCUGACCUGACCACCCUCAUGUACCUGAAAGAAGCAGAGCUUCAAUACUGCCACUCACAAGUCUCCCACUAUCAGAAGGAAGCUGUCACUCAAGCUAGGGGGGCCAACAUUCUGCAGGCCAGCCUAUCAGAGCGUUAGUUUGAAUUGGAGACCCAAUCAAAGGAGUUGGCAGUCCUGCGGUUGGAGCAGCGGGAGUUGAGGGGCUUGCAGCGGCCUGGAGAGAGAAAG